ensembl:lncRNA
UAUAACUUUUCCCUAGGUACUGGACAUAGAGCUCCAGGAUUUAAUGUUUUCCCUGCCAAGUUUUGGUCUUGUUUUUAUUCCACUGUUUUCUAUCCUCCUAUUUCUCCCUUUUGGUAUAAUAAUAAUGCCCAAUACAAUGUAAAUGCUAUAUGAGCAAUUAUUAUAUUGUCUUGCUCAGGAGAAAAUGAAAAGAAACAAGUCUGAAUGUGUUCAGUAUAGAUGCCAUAUUUUAAAGUAUUUUUGAUCCACAGUUGGUUGAAACCAAGGAUGCAGCACCUGUGGACACAGAGGGUCAAUAAUGCUUCCAUUUAUAAAGGAGAAUAUCAGAUCCGUGGAUUUAACUACUACUUUAAGUUCUAGGUGUGCAUAAUGGGAAGGCCCAUCCUGGAUGUCCCGUGGCACCACCCAAAAGUUAAAAGGGCAAGGAAGGCUUGCUGCUUCCCUGCCUUCUGCCAUGUCAUGGACUGCUUCUCUACUGCAAUGCCCCUUUGCCUACACUCUACCUUGGAGCCAGACAAUUAU